AAUGGGGGGAAUCUUGUUGAUGCUGCCAAUAUUGCUGCUUUAGCUGCUCUCUUGACAUUUCAGAGGCCAGAAUGUACAUUAGGAGGAGAAGACGGUCAGCAAGUGAUAGUACAUCCACCUGAGGUGAAAGAACCACUUCCAUUGAUAGUGCAUCAUCUUCCUAUAGCUGUAACUUUUGCAUUUUUCAACAGUGAGCACACCAUGUUGAUAGAUCCAACCCAUAAUGAGGAGGCUGUUAUGGGGGGAAGAAUGACCGUUACAGUGAACGCAAAUGGUGAUAUUUGUGCUAUUCAGAAAGCUGGAGGAGAGGGUGUGACACAGAGUGAUAUAAUGCGUUGUUUGCGACUUGCAUCUAGGAAUGCUGAGUCCAUAACAAAGAAGAUAAAAGAUGCAGUUGAGGCAUACAGCACAGAGAGAGCAUUACGCAAGAUCAAGCGCCAUUCUACUUCUGUUGCUGUCAAUGUUAGCUUAUCUGGUGGUGAUGUUAGGGAGCAUGAAAACAAAUCUUUCAUGCACAGGGGCAAUAGUGAAUUGUCAAGAGACCAGACGGAGAGAUUGAAGCUAGUAUCUGAGGAAAGCUGCAAAAGCCAAAGUAAUGACAUAGAUGGUGGUCUGAGGUCAUCUGAACAAGGCGGAACUAGUUGCCGAGAGGGCAAUGCUACAAAUUUCCUUGGGG
rnacentral:misc_RNA from 1 species